CCUACGGGAGGCAGCAGUAGGGAAUCUUCCGCAAUGGACGAAAGUCUGACGGAGCAACGCCGCGUGAACGAAGAAGGCCUUCGGGUCGUAAAGUUCUGUUGUUAGGGAAGAACAAGUACCAGAGUAACUGCUGGUACCUUGACGGUACCUAACCAGAAAGCCACGGCUAACUACGUGCCAGCAGCCGCGGUAAUACGUAGGUGGCAAGCGUUGUCCGGAAUUAUUGGGCGUAAAGCGCGCGCAGGUGGUUCCUUAAGUCUGAUGUGAAAGCCCACGGCUCAACCGUGGAGGGUCAUUGGAAACUGGGGAACUUGAGUGCAGAAGAGGAAAGUGGAAUUCCAAGUGUAGCGGUGAAAUGCGUAGAGAUUUGGAGGAACACCAGUGGCGAAGGCGACUUUCUGGUCUGUAACUGACACUGAGGCGCGAAAGCGUGGGGAGCAAACAGGAUUAGAUACCCUGGUAGUCCACGCCGUAAACGAUGAGUGCUAAGUGUUAGAGGGUUUCCGCCCUUUAGUGCUGCNGCUACGACAUAAGUACACUCCGCCGUCGGGAGGUACGGCCGCGACGGACGUGAACGUACGAAGGAAGUUAGUACGGCGNGAGACGUGCCGACGGACGACGACGAGGGAGGUUAGG
rnacentral:rRNA from 1 species